GAAAAUAUGAUUUUUGAAAAUUUGGAUUUUGGAGUGGAGAGUGAAUUUUUGCAAUGUUGGCUUGAUGAUCUUUGGUCACUUUGUGCUUGGACAGCUUUUAGAAAAUGCAAGGCAAGUUAGGUUUAGUUAUGUUGGAUUGUGGACAAGGGUUUGACAGGAAAAAUGCAAGUGAAAAGGGUGAGUGCAGUUGGUCAUGGCUUGGUUUGGAACUUGUGAUUGCAAAUGAAGGUUGUUAGGCUGCUGCAGGUUUAAAC
rnacentral:lncRNA from 1 species